GACAAGUACCAGGGGCUUCACAUUUGGCAAAAUGAAGUUCUUAAAUAAUCCAUUAAAAUACUACAAGAGACUGCUUCAUGUAAACAACUUUCCAUCCAAUCACAUAAACUGAUUUGAAAUAAUUUUUUCCCUCACCAAAAAAUACAUAAAAUAUAGAAAGUAAAGCCAAAAAGUUUUAUCGCAUGAAAAAUACAUAAGUAUAAUCACCUUGCAUGCAGUAUCA
rnacentral:misc_RNA from 1 species